AAAUACUCCUGCUACAGCCAGAGAGAGCACACGCAGCACCCGAUGCAUCCACCUACAAACAGACCCAGUGCAUCUCUAACUGCUCCAUUUUUCCAAGACUGAAGGACGUCACAGAGACAGGUUAUUGCAGAUAUUCCCAGAACUGUAACAGCUGAACAACAGGCCCUGUCUCAGUGAUCUCACAGCCCUUCUAAAGACACUUUAGCAUAAAGAGUACAUUGAAAAAUGACCAAAUACUUUUCACUGCUUUCACUUCGGUUGUGGUUAAGGAUGUGCAGGUCUGUUCAAGGCUGGGAUUCACAGUGUGUUUGUCUUUACCAAAAGUUAUCCAGCCAGAAAAGAGAUGAAACCACAGCUGUGUCAGGUAUACAAGAAUAUAAAAUAAAUAUCUUACUAGAGAUUGGAUAAUCUGCUACUUUGUCUAUAUUAGUGCAAAAA
rnacentral:lncRNA from 1 species